UCAGAGUCGGUUGGCGCGGGUAAAUUGGUUUCCCAUUGCUACACAGUGAGCAGAAAACCCUAGGAGAGAGAAAGUGAAGCUCUGAGAAAAUGGGACACGUAAGCGAGCAUCACGAAGCGACGGACGGCUUGGUGAAGCUACUGACGAAGGCGAACCACGAUCUGACGAUGGUUCAGCCACCGGCUCGAGAGGGAGUUCCAGCAAAUCUACCCAGAUAACUGCGAACCCAAUGAAGCUGGUUUCGAGGAUAAAGAAGAUUCAAGAAGAAUUGUCGACUUUGGAAGACCAGUGCCGCGAACUUCUUUCGGCCAAACAGGAUUUGAUUGAUAAGGCUAGGACGACUCUGGUUGGGAACAGAAACCAAUUGCAGCGGAUGGAGGCAUCGAUGGGAGUUUUCGCCGACGCUGAUUCGGAUGAUUCUGCUUUUGCUAACUUCAACCAGGUCAUUGAUGAGUGGACAGUUCAAGUCAGAUCAAAAACAGGGGAUGAGAACCGGGAUUCUGAUUCGGAGGAUAUCAACCAGUUGCUCUUUUCGGCUAUAGUCUAAGGCAACUGCUCUUCUUCAGUGAGGUUAUUUGUUCAUGUCUAUUCUGAUUACAUUUGCUUUGAACAUACAUUUUAUUGGAAGUAUAGAAAAGAACUUGUUUUCAUUUCUUUCGAAAAUACCAUCUCGAAAUCAAUCUGUUCCGGA